rnacentral:rRNA from 1 species
AUUGAACGCUGGCGGCAGGCCUAACACAUGCAAGUCGAGCGGAACGGCGGACGGGGGAGUAAUGCCUAGGAAUCUGCCUGGUGGUGGGGGAUAACGUCCGGAGACGGGCGCUAAUACCGCAUGCUAUCAGAUGGGCCUAGGUCGGCUUUGCUAGUUGGUGGGGUAAAGGCCUACCAAGGCGACGAUGCGUAAGCGGUCUGAGAGGAUGAUCAGUCACACUGGAACUGAGACACGGGCCAGACUCCUACGGGAGGCAGCAGGGGGGAAUAUUGGACAAUGGGCGAAAGCCUGAUCCAGCCAUGCCGCGUGUGUGAAGAAGGUCUUCGGAUUGUAAAGCACUUUAAGUUGGGAGGCGGUACCAACAGAAUAAGCACCGGCUAACUACGUGCCAGCAGCCGCGGUAAUAC